rnacentral:rRNA from 1 species
AUUGAACGCUGGCGGCAGGCCUAACACAUGCAAGUCGAGCGAGCGGCGGACGGGUGAGUAAUGUCUGGGAAACUGCCUGAUGUAGGGGGAUAACUACUGGAAACGGUAGCUAAUACCGCAUACCAUCAGAUGUGCCCAGAUGGGAUUAGCUAGUGGGUGGGGUAAUGGCUCACCGAGGCGACGAUCCAUAGCUGGUCGGAGAGGAUGACCAGCCACACUGGAACGGAGACACGGUCCAGACUCCUACGGGAGGCAGCAGUGGGGAAUAUUGGGCAAUGGGCGCAAGCCUGAUCCAGCCAUGCCGCGUGUAUGAAGAAGGCCUUCGGGUUGUAAAGUACUUUCAGCAGGGAAGCGUUACCCGCAGAAGAAGCACCGGCUAACUCCGUGCCAGCAGCCGCGGUAAUAC